rfam:Gossypium hirsutum cultivar TM-1 chromosome 19, whole genome shotgun sequence
UACUAAAAAAUUCAUUUAUUUUUAUUGUUAAAAAUUUGUGAUUGAUAGAAGAAUCAUAUGGUGUGUCACGUGUACUUCAUUUUAUAUAUAUUGAUCAGUUUUUAACCGUAGAAAUGAAUAAAAAUUUUAACA